rnacentral:rRNA from 1 species
UCGCCCUGGUUUUACAAAAACAUCGCCUCUUGAUUAAACAUAAGAGGUCCAGCCUGCCCAGUGACAUAGUUUAACGGCCGCGGUACCCUAACCGUGCAAAGGUAGCAUAAUCACUUGUUCUUUAAAUAGGGACUCGUAUCAACGGCAUCACGAGGGCUAUACUGUCUCCUUUCUCCAAUCAAUGAAACUGAUCUCCCCGUGAAGAAGCGGGGAUUAACCUAUAAGACGAGAAGACCCCAUGGAGCUUCAAACUCAACAUAUACCUCUACGCACUUAAACCACUUUAGCCCAAGAGACCUCUAUGUUAGUUUUGGGUUGGGGGGACCGCGGAGUAAAAAUUAACCUCCACGACAAACGGGCUUUAUGCCCUUAUCCACGAACCACAGCUCUAAGAAUCAAUAAACUGAUGUUUAUGACCCGAUUAUUCGAUCAACGAACCAAGUUACCCUGGGGAUAACAGCGCAAUCUACUUCAAGAGCCCCUAUCGACAAGUAGGUUUACGACCUCGAUGUUGGAUCAGGGUAUCCCAGUGGUGCAGCCGCUACUAAUGGUUCGUUUGUUCAACGAUUAAAACCCUACGUGAUCUGAUUCCCAAACCGGA